UCGAGGAUCUUCGGCAAUGUGCGCAAGCACGACCGAGCGACGCCGCGUGGGCGACGAAGGCCUUCGGGUUGUAAAGCCCUGUCGAGGGGGAGAAAAGCCGGAAACGGUGUGAUCUAUCCCUGGAGGAAGCUCGGGCUAAGUUCGUGCCAGCAGCCGCGGUAAGACGAACCGAGCGAACGUUGUUCGGAAUCACUGGGCUUAAAGGGCGCGUAGGCGGGCUGCCAAGUUUGGGGUGAAAUCCUCCGGCUCAACCGGGGAAGUGCCUUGAAUACUGGCGGUCUGGAGGGAGGUAGGGGCGUGCGGAACUGUAGGUGGAGCGGUGAAAUGCGUUGAUAUCUACAGGAACUCCGGUGGCGAAGGCGGCACGCUGGACCUUUUCUGACGCUGAGGCGCGAAAGCCAGGGGAGCGAACG
rnacentral:rRNA from 1 species